GAUGGACGCUGGCGGCGUGCUUAACACAUGCAAGUCGAACGGUGAAGGCGGAGCUUGCUCUGCUGGAUCAGUGGCGAACGGGUGAGUAACACGUGAGCAAUCUGCCCCUGACUCUGGGAUAAGCGCUGGAAACGGCGUCUAAUACUGGAUACGAGCUGCGAAGGCAUCUUCAGCAGCUGGAAAGAAUUUCGGUCAGGGAUGAGCUCGCGGCCUAUCAGCUUGUUGGUGAGGUAAUGGCUCACCAAGGCGUCGACGGGUAGCCGGCCUGAGAGGGUGACCGGCCACACUGGGACUGAGACACGGCCCAGACUCCUACGGGAGGCAGCAGUGGGGAAUAUUGCACAAUGGGCGAAAGCCUGAUGCAGCAACGCCGCGUGAGGGACGACGGCCUUCGGGUUGUAAACCUCUUUUAGCAGGGAAGAAGCGAAAGUGACGGUACCUGCAGAAAAAGCGCCGGCUAACUACGUG
rnacentral:rRNA from 1 species